UACGUAGGGUGCAAGCGUUAAUCGGAAUUACUGGGCGUAAAGCGUGCGCAGGCGGUUUUGUAAGUUUGUCGUGAAAUCCCCGGGCUCAACCUGGGAAUUGCGAUGAAGACUGCAAGGCUAGAAUCUGGCAGAGGGGGGUAGAAUUCCACGUGUAGCAGUGGAAUGCGUAGAGAUGUGGAGGAACACCGAUGGCGAAGGCAGCCCCCUGGGUCAAGAUUGACGCUCAUGCACGAAAGGCGUGGGGAG
rnacentral:rRNA from 1 species